rnacentral:rRNA from 1 species
GGGUUGUGAGGUUAAGCGACUAAGCGUACACGGUGGAUGCCCUGGCAGUCAGAGGCGAUGAAGGACGUGCUAAUCUGCGAUAAGCGUCGGUGAGGUGAUAUGAACCGUUAUAACCGGCGAUUUCCGAAUGGGGAAACCCAGUGUGUUUCGACACACUAUCAUUAACUGAAUCCAUAGGUUAAUGAGGCGAACCGGGGGAACUGAAACAUCUAAGUACCCCGAGGAAAAGAAAUCAACCGAGAUUCCCCCAGUAGCGGCGAGCGAACGGGGAGGAGCCCAGAGCCUGAAUCAGUGUGUGUGUUAGUGGAAGCGUCUGGAAAGGCGUGCGAUACAGGGUGACAGCCCCGUACACAAAAAUGCACAUAUUGUGAGCUCGAUGAGUAGGGCGGGACACGUGGUAUCCUGUCUGAAUAUGGGGGGACCAUCCUCCAAGGCUAAAUACUCCUGACUGACCGAUAGUGAACCAGUACCGUGAGGGAAAGGCGAAAAGAACCCCGGCGAGGGGAGUGAAAAAGAACCUGAAACCGUGUACGUACAAGCAGUGGGAGCCUCUUAAUGGGGUGACUGCGUACCUUUUGUAUAAUGGGUCAGCGACUUAUAUUCUGUAGCAAGGUUAACCGAAUAGGGGAGCCGAAGGGAAACCGAGUCUUAACUGGGCGUUAAGUUGCAGGGUAUAGACCCGAAACCCGGUGAUCUAGCCAUGGGCAGGUUGAAGGUUGGGUAACACUAACUGGAGGACCGAACCGACUAAUGUUGAAAAAUUAGCGGAUGACUUGUGGCUGGGGGUGAAAGGCCAAUCAAACCGGGAGAUAGCUGGUUCUCCCCGAAAGCUAUUUAGGUAGCGCCUCGUGAAUUCAUCUCCGGGGGUAGAGCACUGUUUCGGCAAGGGGGUCAUCCCGACUUACCAACCCGAUGCAAACUGCGAAUACCGGAGAAUGUUAUCACGGGAGACACACGGCGGGUGCUAACGUCCGUCGUGAAGAGGGAAACAACCCAGACCGCCAGCUAAGGUCCCAAAGUCAUGGUUAAGUGGGAAACGAUGUGGGAAGGCCCAGACAGCCAGGAUGUUGGCUUAGAAGCAGCCAUCAUUUAAAGAAAGCGUAAUAGCUCACUGGUCGAGUCGGCCUGCGCGGAAGAUGUAACGGGGCUAAACCAUGCACCGAAGCUGCGGCAGCGACACUAUGUGUUGUUGGGUAGGGGAGCGUUCUGUAAGCCUGUGAAGGUGGCCUGUGAGGGUUGCUGGAGGUAUCAGAAGUGCGAAUGCUGACAUAAGUAACGAUAAAGCGGGUGAAAAGCCCGCUCGCCGGAAGACCAAGGGUUCCUGUCCAACGUUAAUCGGGGCAGGGUGAGUCGACCCCUAAGGCGAGGCCGAAAGGCGUAGUCGAUGGGAAACAGGUUAAUAUUCCUGUACUUGGUGUUACUGCGAAGGGGGGACGGAGAAGGCUAUGUUGGCCGGGCGACGGUUGUCCCGGUUUAAGCGUGUAGGCUGGUUUUCCAGGCAAAUCCGGAAAACCAAGGCUGAGGCGUGAUGACGAGGCACUACGGUGCUGAAGCGACAAAUGCCCUGCUUCCAGGAAAAGCCUCUAAGCAUCAGGUAACAUCAAAUCGUACCCCAAACCGACACAGGUGGUCAGGUAGAGAAUACCAAGGCGCUUGAGAGAACUCGGGUGAAGGAACUAGGCAAAAUGGUGCCGUAACUUCGGGAGAAGGCACGCUGAUAUGUAGGUGAAGCGACUUGCUCGUGGAGCUGAAAUCAGUCGAAGAUACCAGCUGGCUGCAACUGUUUAUUAAAAACACAGCACUGUGCAAACACGAAAGUGGACGUAUACGGUGUGACGCCUGCCCGGUGCCGGAAGGUUAAUUGAUGGGGUUAGCGGCAACGCGAAGCUCUUGAUCGAAGCCCCGGUAAACGGCGGCCGUAACUAUAACGGUCCUAAGGUAGCGAAAUUCCUUGUCGGGUAAGUUCCGACCUGCACGAAUGGCGUAAUGAUGGCCAGGCUGUCUCCACCCGAGACUCAGUGAAAUUGAACUCGCUGUGAAGAUGCAGUGUACCCGCGGCAAGACGGAAAGACCCCGUGAACCUUUACUAUAGCUUGACACUGAACAUUGAGCCUUGAUGUGUAGGAUAGGUGGGAGGCUUUGAAGUGUGGACGCCAGUCUGCAUGGAGCCGACCUUGAAAUACCACCCUUUAAUGUUUGAUGUUCUAACGUUGGCCCGUAAUCCGGGUUGCGGACAGUGUCUGGUGGGUAGUUUGACUGGGGCGGUCUCCUCCUAAAGAGUAACGGAGGAGCACGAAGGUUGGCUAAUCCUGGUCGGACAUCAGGAGGUUAGUGCAAUGGCAUAAGCCAGCUUGACUGCGAGCGUGACGGCGCGAGCAGGUGCGAAAGCAGGUCAUAGUGAUCCGGUGGUUCUGAAUGGAAGGGCCAUCGCUCAACGGAUAAAAGGUACUCCGGGGAUAACAGGCUGAUACCGCCCAAGAGUUCAUAUCGACGGCGGUGUUUGGCACCUCGAUGUCGGCUCAUCACAUCCUGGGGCUGAAGUAGGUCCCAAGGGUAUGGCUGUUCGCCAUUUAAAGUGGUACGCGAGCUGGGUUUAGAACGUCGUGAGACAGUUCGGUCCCUAUCUGCCGUGGGCGCUGGAGAACUGAGGGGGGCUGCUCCUAGUACGAGAGGACCGGAGUGGACGCAUCACUGGUGUUCGGGUUGUCAUGCCAAUGGCACUGCCCGGUAGCUAAAUGCGGAAGAGAUAAGUGCUGAAAGCAUCUAAGCACGAAACUUGCCCCGAGAUGAGUUCUCCCU